rnacentral:rRNA from 1 species
CGAAGGAUGCAAGCGUUAUCCGGAUUCAUUGGGUUUAAAGGGAGCGUAGGCGGCCCUGUAAGUCAGUGGUGAAAUCUCUCGGCUUAACCGAGAAAUUGCCAUUGAUACUGCAGGGCUUGAGUACAGUUGCCGUUGGCGGAAUAUGACAUGUAGUGGUGAAAUACAUAGAGAUGUCAUAGAACACCGAUUGCGAAGGCAGCUAACGAAACUGUAACUGACGCUGAGGCUCGAAAGUGCGGGGAUCAAACAGGAUUAGAUACCCUGGUAGUCCGCACUGUAAACGAUGAUUACUCGCUGCUAGAGGGCAACUUUUAGUGGCUUAGCGAAAGCGAUAAGUAAUCCACCUGGGGAGUACGCCGGCAACGGUG